rnacentral:rRNA from 1 species
AAUGAACGUUGGCGGCGUGGAUUAGGCAUGCAAGUCGCGCGAGAAAUUUCCUUCGGGAAAUGGACAGCGGCGGAAGGGAGAGGAAUAAGUAGAAAUCUGCCCUCGGGACGGGGAUAGCGGUGGGAAACUGCCGGUAAUACCCGAUAACAUCUUUGGAUCAAAUGGUGUGAUUCCGCCUGAGGAUGAGUCUACUUCCUAUUAGCUAGUUGGUGGGGUAAUGGCCUACCAAGGCAACGAUGGGUAGCGGGUGUGAGAGCACGACCCGCCUCACUGGGACUGAGACACUGCCCAGACACCUACGGGUGGCUGCAGUCGAGAAUCUUCGGCAAUGGGGGAAACCCGUGACCGAGCGACGCCGCGUGCGGGAUGAAGGCCCUUGGGUUGUAAACCGCUGUCGUAAGGGAACAAAUCCAUAGGGGUACUCCCCUAUGGUUGAGUGAUCUUAGGAGGAAGGACGGGCUAAGUUCGUG